rnacentral:rRNA from 1 species
UGGGGAAUCUUCCGCAAUGGGCGCAAGCCUGACGGAGCAACGCCGCGUGAGUGAAGAAGGGUUUCGACUCGUAAAGCUCUGUUGUCGGGGACGAACGUGGAGACUAUGAAUAAUGGUUUUCAAUGACGGUACCUGACGAGGAAGCCACGGCUAACUACGUGCCAGCAGCCGCGGUAAUACGUAGGUGGCGAGCGUUGUCCGGAAUUAUUGGGCGUAAAGGGAGCGCAGGCGGGAGGUCAAGUCUAUCUUAAAAGUGCGGGGCUUAACCCCGUGAUGGGAUGGAAACUGAGAGGCUGGAGUAUCGGAGAGGAAAGUGGAAUUCCUAGUGUAGCGGUGAAAUGCGUAGAGAUUAGGAAGAACACCGGUGGCGAAGGCGACUUUCUGGACGACAACUGACGCUGAGGCGCGAAAGCGUGGGGAGCAAACAGGAUUAGAUACCCUGGUAGU